GUAGGGGGCUAUGCCCCCGAAUGGAUGUCGAGCAGCCGGAAUUGCAGCCCCAUUUGUGCUUGUUGUAAAAGACGCCUCCCCAGCCAGACCCGGCCGGUGUGGAAUCUUGGACGACCUGCAGGUGGCUACAUGAACGGCUGGUUUACCCAGCUCAGUUACCCUUGUAUAUGAGUACUACUGUUUCCUCGGCAAGCUUGCUUGCCAAUGGGGACCUUAUCAAACCUUUUUAUGUUGUUGUAACCGUAACCAAACAAAUAAUUAAAACUUUCAACAACGGAUCUCUUGGUUCU
rnacentral:misc_RNA from 1 species